UUUCCGUAGGUGAACCUGCGGAAGGAUCAUCGUCGAAACCUGCACAGCAGAACGACCCACGAACUCGUUUUAAACACCGGGGGCGGCGCUCGCUCGUCGCGCGCCUCCCCCCGUCGCCCGAGGCGCGCAAGCUCUUCGGGCGACCAACGAACCCCGGCGCGGAAAGCGCCAAGGAAUACUACAAUCGACAGCCCUCCCCCUCGCGCCCCGUUCGCGGAUCGUGCGGGGGGAAGCGCGCUGCUCUGUUAACACUAACGACUCUCGGCAACGGAUAUCUCGGCUCUC
rnacentral:misc_RNA from 1 species